UAUUUGAAUAAUAAUCAUUAUAGCUUCAAUGUUUUUAAGCAUAUAAAUCAUAAUUUUAAUGUUUUUAAGAAUGUUUAAUUUGUGCAAAAGCUGCAAGGGUAUAUGAAGUUUGCUUCCUUUCUUGUUAUUGUCAUUCUUAUGAGAAGUUUGCCACUUCUAAAAAACUUUUUCACUUUUUGCCGAGCUAUUAGACAAGCAUGUUGUCGAGCGGACGUGCUCUUGAAAUUGUUGACGAAAUAUAUUAAUAUGGAAGUGUUAAAAUCAUUGACUGAAAAAACUGGAUGUGCUGUGUUCUCGACAUUUCCUAUUACCAAAAUUUGGUCAUGCGAGUCUCAUAAGUAUAUUGGUGUACUUUCUGUAACAGAUAACUUUCCCAAAAGGCGUUGAUAUAAUUAAUGGAAGAAAUAGAAGGAUUGACCUAAAAGUCAAGCAAAUUUGGUAUACAACAUAUACAAGUACAUACAACGAAAAUGGACACAAAAUUUUCUUAGCGACAGACCGCAGGGGCUCUUACCAGCAGGCCCCGGCGCUUCGUGUGCAUUCGGGGUUUUUUGCUCUUUCAUUCUUAUUCUCAUUUUUAUGCUCGCGGACUCAUUGCACGAGUUCGAUCGUUCAGUCGCAAAGAGGAGCAUUUUGAAGAAGGUUGCCCUGCAGAAGGUUUUCCUUAAGGGAAAGGCUAAGGAUGCCGAUGUACCCGAUUCCUUUCCGAUUGAAAGUGAGGAGGAGCUGGUGGCGUUAGAAGUUAAAAUAUGCUCGUCUACUAAAACCGCCUAUAUUGAGACCAUCACCGCAAUUCUUAGGCGAAAUAAUUUGCCUAGGUCUAUUAAAGGAGUUUUGGCAGAGCACCUUCUUUGCGACUUCAAUAUAGACGGAUUGAAUAUAAAAAAGGCCCCUAAGGGCUUUCCAGGAUUUUUUUCGUUAUAGUCGACAGCAUAUCUGCGUUGGGAGGCCAGCUGCCGGCGGAGAAGGCUCUUGCGCACGCCUUAUCUUGCGCAAAAAACAACGCAAACAAAAA